rnacentral:tRNA from 1 species
GCCUGGGUGGCUCAAUUGGUUGAGCGUCUGACUUCGGCUCAGGUCAUGAUCUCACUGUUCGUGAGUUCAAGUCCCACGUCAGGCC